rnacentral:sRNA from 1 species
GUUUUCCAGGCUCGCGCCCGGCGGGAGAAGAGGACGCGGGCUGCCUGGAGCGGCCCGCGGACGUGGUGAACGUGGUGUUCGUAGAUCGCUCAGGCCAGCGGAUCCCAGUGAGCGGCAGAGUCGGGGACAAUGUUCUCCACCUGGCCCAGCGCCACGGGGUGGACCUGGAAGGGGCCUGUGAAGCCUCCCUGGCCUGUUCCACCUGCCAUGUGUACGUGAGUGAAGACCACCUGGAUCUCCUGCCUCCUCCCGAGGAGAGGGAAGACGACAUGCUAGACAUGGCCCCCCUCCUCCAGGAGAACUCGAGGCUGGGCUGCCAGAUCGUGCUGACGCCGGAGCUGGAAGGAGCGGAAUUCACCCUGCCCAAGAUCACCAGGAACUUCUACGUGGAUGGCCACGUCCCCAAGCCCCACUGACAUGAACACCUGAACCAUUCCACAUUGCCAUGGCCCACAGCCGAGAUGGAGGGAAUAGCCAGGGGUGCGCGGAUGACCUGAAAAAAGCGAGAAAGAGGAAAGGCGCCGCCGAGGCUGGUUGCUCUCAGCUGGGGCUCAUCGCAUCCUCUGCCAAGAGCGCUCCCACCCCACAGGUCCCGCCCCUCCCAGCAAAGCUGCUGGCGCCGCCCUGUCUGGACCUGGAGCCGCUGGGAGGAUCCCCCUCCCAGGAGAAGCCGAGAACCCCAGGAUGCUGCAGAAUCAGUGAGAGGUCUCUCUGGCCUGCAUGCCAGGACUCGGUCACCGCCCUGUGCUUCCUCCAAGAGACAGUGGAGAGGCUGGGUCAGUCCCCUGCCCAGGACACCCCGGUCCUGGGGCCUUGCUGGGUCCCGAUGGCUCUGGGGACUCAGGGCCGCCUGCUGCUGGACAGGGAUUCCAAGGACACACAGA